UUGUGUUCUUUGGUCGCUGGCUUCACCACACAAAUGGACCGUUCGGUCUCUAAUCCCUCUAUGUGGGACACACAAAAAGUGUAUAAACACCAUGAGCAACAAAAUGUUGCCGAAACACGACCAAAAUACAGAGAGGGAAGACGCCUCAAAGCUGUCAAGGUGUAUACCAUCAACUUGGAGUCUCGGUUCCUUGAUAGUUCAAGGGGUUCCCGCUAUCGGAGUGAUGACCGAGCUGGUGCAGCUCUUUGCUCUGUAUGGAGUGAUCGAGGAGUACAGGGCGCUGGAUGAAUACCCAGCAGAGCAGUUCACUGAAGUCUACUUAUUUCAGUUCCAGAAGCUGACGAGUGCAAAGUGAACAUGUUUAAAGUGAGCUUGAGCCGCAAUUAUUAUUGUUAUUUUUAUUUUAGUUUUAAUGAAAGAAACCUCUUAUGCUCACCUAGGCAAGGCUGCAUUCAGUUGAUCUGUAGAUUAUAUUCUUUCAUCCAUGCCGAGAUGUCUGCCAGGCAGCCUAAGAUCUGUGCAGCUACCAUUGGAUCAUCUGGUUGGAGUGAAAGAUAGAGCUGUGUAUCAUCAGCAUAGCAAUGGUAGAGAAUCCAUGUGCCUGUAUGUUGGGAUCCAGUGGUGCUGUGUAUAUGGAGAAGAGGAGGGGUCCAAUAACUGAUCCCUGAGGAAUCCCAGUGAUAAGUUGAUGUGCUUUGGACACCUCCCCUCCCCAAGCCACACUGAAAGACCUACCAAUGAGAAAGGAUUCAGACCAGGAAGUGGAAUCCCUGUGAUGCCCAGUGAUGAGAGGUGAGACAGAAGGAUCUGAUGAUUGACAGUGUCAAAAGCAGCUGCUAGAUCCAGCAGAACAAGAACUGAUGAUUUGGAAUCAGCUUUUGCAAUCCACAGGGCUUCCGUGACUGACAGUAGUACAGUUUAAGUUGAAUGGCCAGUCCUGAAACCUGAUUGGUUAGCUUCCAGUUUGAGGUUCUGUAAAAGAAACAAUGAUCUGGAACAUCUGGUUGAAAACAACUCUUUUGAGGGUUUUCACUAUGAAUGAAACGAGAGAGACAGGUCUGUAGCUUUCUGUAAGUGAAGUUAUUAAAAUUAGUUGUUGUUUUUUUUUGAGCAGAGGGGUUACCCAAGCCUGCUUGAAUGCAGUGGGAAAGGUGCCAGUGAGUAAAAGGUCACCAGUAAAAGGUUUUUAUCUUUGACCGUCUUUUCAGAAUCAGAAUAAGAAACUUUCCCAUCAUGGUCAUACAGUAAUCCUGAAAAAAAAUAAAUGAUAAUUAUAUAGAUAGAUAGAUAGAUCGAGAGAGAGAGAGAGAUGUAGAUAUACAUUUAUGUAUAUAUUGUACUUAACAAUGGUUAAUUAUUACUGACAAAUGGCAGGACCAUUUUCAUUAAGGCGAUCUCUACAAUGUCCUUAAUCCUCCAGUGAGAUGUAUCCAUUUUGUAUAAAUCUAUACACUGAACAAAAUUAUAAACACAACACUUUUGAUUUUGCCCCAAUUUUUCAUGAACUUGAACUUAAAGAUCUAAGGCUUUUUUUAUGUACACAAAAGGCCUAUUUCUAUUAAAUAUUGUUCACAAUUCUGUCUAAAUCUGCGUUAAUGAGCACUUUUCCUCUGACGAGAUAAUCCAUCCACCUCAGGUGUAGCAUAUCAAGAUCCUGAUUAGACCACAUGAUUAUUGCACAGGUGUGCCUUAGGCUGGCCACAAUAAAAGGCCACUCUACAAUGUGCAGUUUUAUCCCACAGCACAAUGCCACAGAUGUGGCAAGUUUUGAGGGAGCAUGAAAUUGGCAUGCUGUUGAAUAUUAAUUUCUCCACCAUAAGCCACAGCAACACUAAGUAUUACAGCAGCAUGGUAGUCUAAUUUAUUAAAAUCUUUGGUUAAAAGAUUUCAGUAUAUUAAAAACAUAAGCUGUUGGAAGUACAUUGAACUGAAAGAACAAUUUGUCCCCUUAAAAGAUUAAUUCAUGAUAAAUUAUAAAAAGUACAAACAAACUAAAAAUAUCCAAAAACAACAGUUCAAUGAAUAAAUGACAAUGAAAUUUGACUGCAGUUCUUUAAAGUUUUAUUUUGCAUUAAUUCAGCUUGAAUCUAUAUCAACAGUAAUUGUCUUCUGAAAGCUGUCACACUUGGUUAGAAUAAAUGCACAUGAUAAUUCAGGCAGUUUUUAAUAAUCCAAACA